UGGGGAAUAUUGGACAAUGGGCGAAAGCCUGAUCCAGCCAUGCCGCGUGUGUGAAGAAGGUCUUCGGAUUGUAAAGCACUUUAAGUUGGGAGGAAGGGCAGUAAGCGAAUACCUUGCUGUUUUGACGUUACCGACAGAAUAAGCACCGGCUAACUCUGUGCCAGCAGCCGCGGUAAUACAGAGGGUGCAAGCGUUAAUCGGAAUUACUGGGCGUAAAGCGCGCGUAGGUGGUUCGUUAAGUUGAAUGUGAAAGCCCCGGGCUCAACCUGGGAACUGCAUCCAAAACAGGCGAGCUAGAGUAGGGCAGAGGGUGGUGGAAUUUCCUGUGUAGCGGUGAAAUGCGUAGAUAUAGGAAGGAACACCAGUGGCGAAGGCGACCACCUGGGCUCAUACUGACACUGAGGUACGAAAGCAUGGGGAGCAAACAGG
rnacentral:rRNA from 1 species